rnacentral:tRNA from 1 species
UCAGUUAUAGGUUAAGUUUAUAAAACUACUAAUUUGUGGUAUUAGUGAUUUGUUUUUCAAUAAUUGAA